rnacentral:rRNA from 1 species
GAAUGCUGACAUAAGUAACGAUAAAGCGGGUGAAAAGCCCGCUCGCCGGAAGACCAAGGGUUCCUGUCCAACGUUAAUCGGGGCAGGGUGAGUCGACCCCUAAGGCGAGGCCGAAAGGCGUAGUCGAUGGGAAACAGGUUAAUAUUCCUGUACUUGGUGUUACUGCGAAGGGGGGACGGAGAAGGCUAUGUUGGCCGGGCGACGGUUGUCCCGGUUUAAGCGUGUAGGCUGGUUUUCCAGGCAAAUCCGGAAAAUCAAGGCUGAGGCGUGAUGACGAGGCACUACGGUGCUGAAGCAACAAAUGCCCUGCUUCCAGGAAAAGCCUCUAAGCAUCAGGUAACAUCAAAUCGUACCCCAAACCGACACAGGU